rnacentral:sRNA from 1 species
ACACCGGCGUGGUACUAGUCACCCAGCCGCACCCCUCGGAAAGCGCGGAAUCGGUGACAGCCACUUCACAGGCUCACGCGCUCCCACUGUGGGCUUGAGGGGGACGGGGACCGAUUACCAAAGGAGAGCGCUUACUACGGAAGACACAGGGCAGCCUUUGUCUUGGGUUUAGCGCUGAUACGCUCAACCCUGAGUCGGGUUCACUGCAACUGUUGGGUCCGAUUUCGGUUCCCUGCAACCGCCCUCCUGCGCGACAGAUGUCAUUGUGUUCCUGCGGCCAGCGGGUCUGAAAGCUGGGACUUAAGACGCCAGGAGGGUCUUGCGCUCACGGGCCCCAACAAAGACUAUCAGAAUCUGUGUAAAUCAAUAGCACCGCUGAGUAGAAAUUCAGUCGCUGAAGUAAAUAUGGAUUCUGGAAAUGUACCCAAAAGAACUCUGAGAGAAUAUACUCACUGUCCUGCUGUGAUUAAACAAGACUGCUGUAUUUUACCUGAGCUUGGCAAAGCAAGGAUAUGAACAAUUGUGCAGGUGGGCUACUCAGGGCGAGUGAAGAGAUAAGGCAUCCAAUCAGGGAUUGGCCACCUGCAGCCCUGCCAAUAUGCCCCUCCACCAGAUUUCCGUAAUCCCAGCACGGGAGACUGCCAGCAAUGGGAGA